GAUGAACGCUAGCGGCAGGCCUAACACAUGCAAGUCGAGGGGUAGAGGAAGCUUGCUUCCUUGAGACCGGCGCACGGGUGCGUAACGCGUAUGCAAUCUACCUUUUACAGAGGGAUAGCCCAGAGAAAUUUGGAUUAAUACCUCAUAGUAUUUUCGAAUGGCAUCAUUUGAUUAUUAAAGUUCCAACGGUAAAGGAUGAGCAUGCGUCCUAUUAGCUAGAUGGUAAGGUAACGGCUUACCAUGGCAACGAUAGGUAGGGGUCCUGAGAGGGAGAUCCCCCACACUGGUACUGAGACACGAACCAGACUCCUAGGGGAGGCAGCAGUGAGGAAUAUUGGACAAUGGGCGCAAGCCUGAUCCAGCCAUGCCGCGUGCAGGAAGACGCAUCUAUGGUGUGUAAACUGCUUUUGUACGGGAAGAAACACUCCCUCGUGAGGGAGCUUGACGGUACCGUAAGAAUAAGGAUCGGCUAACUCCGUGCCAGCCGCCGCCGUAACAC
rnacentral:rRNA from 1 species